UGCGCCUUGUACACAGCAAGUUUCUCGGCCUUGUUUAAUUUUAGUACACUGAUUUUAUAUGUUAUUUUCUUUCUCCUUAGUGAGCGAUACACUUCUUCGUCAUCAUCAUAGUUAACUAUUUGGGAUUGUCUUGAGAUUUGGGAGAAAAUCGAAACAACACUUAGUUUUUGGUUGUUACCAACUAAGGGCCUGUUCGACAUAAAUUUUUUGAGAAUAUAUUUUAAGAACAGCGAUUUUUUUGGAGUGGUUAAAAAGUAUGAAAAGUUAUAGGUUUAAUUGCAAAAUUAUUUUAUUGGAAAAAUGUGAUUGAAAAUGAUUUUGGAGAAAAAAUAGUUCUAGAAAAUGUAUGCCAAACAGGGGCUAAUUAAAACCAAUAACUGAAUGCAACUAGUCCUCUCUUUAAUUUUUCUAGGUAUGGGGAGAAUGUAACAGAAGUGAAUCAGAAUCCAAAUUGGAUUUGCCCUGUCUGUCGGGGAAUAUGCAAUUGCAGUCGCUGCAGAAGAGAUAAAGGAUGGGCACCCACCGGAAAUAUCUACAGGAAGGUAAAGUUGAUCUACCUUCAUUUGUUGAUGCUUAUUUGCAGACAAAUUUUUGAAAUUCUCUAGAAUUGGUUCUGGAAAAUCGAAUGGCAUCUAUAAUCUAUAUCUAUUUGGAUGAGAUUUGAAAAGUUAGUUUAUAGUAAGCUUUCUAAUAAAUAAAGUUAUAGUCGGAAAUAAUAAGAGAAAAGCUAACGUAUACCAAUAUGUUUUGAACAAAAAGUUAAAUUUGACAAAUUUUUAAUCUUAGCCAAACACACUCAUGUUCUUUAUUAUUCAUAAACUGUUAAUUUCAGGUAGAGAGACUUGGUUUCAGAUCUGUGGCACAUUAUCUUAUUGAGACCUUUGGCAAUAAAGCAAACCUGGUAGCGGCAGCUGGUGAAAUUCCAGUUUCUGCUUGUGGAUCAAUUUCAAUUGGAGAUAAAAGAGCAGGGAUUGACGAUGAGAAAGAUGGAAUGGAAGAUAUCAAUAGGGAUCAGGACAGUGAUGAGGAUUAUAGUGGUGAAGAGGAGGAUAAGGAUGAGGAUAGUCGAUAACCCUAGCCAGAGAAAUCAAGACAAGGGCAGUUUACUAGAAGACUAAACCUAUUUUUGCUACACAGAACGAAGCUUUAGAAGGGGUAAUCUAAAGUGGCCAGUUCUUUUUGACGAUUUUGAACUGCUAAUCCCAUCCAGUCAUGCCUGUCCAUCACAAAAGCAUGUAUAUUGAUUUUUGUCAGAUGACAGAAGGCUUAGAUUUUGUUGUGUUUCAAAGUUUCAUGGUGUAGCUAUCUUCAAAUCCACAUGUAUUGAAUGCUAUGAAUCAGUAUAUCCGCAUUCCAUUCUGCUUGAGAUUCUCCGGUGGCUUGAACUUGAGUGGAA
rnacentral:lncRNA from 1 species